rnacentral:rRNA from 1 species
GCAUGCUUAACACAUGCAAGUCGAGCGGCAGCACGGGAGCUUGCUCCUGGUGGCGAGUGGCGGACGGGUGAGUAAUGCAUAGGAAUCUGCCCUGUAGCGGGGGACAACUACCGGAAACGGUAGCUAAUACCUGCAUAAUCUCUACGUGAGGAAAUGACUUCGGUCACUAUAGGAUGAGCCUAUGUCUGAUUAGCUUGUUGGUGGGGUAAAGGCCCACCAAGGCGACGAUCAGUAGCUGGUCUGAGAGGACGAUCAGCCACACUGGGACUGAGACACGGCCCAGACUCCUACGGGAGGCAGCAGUGGGGAAUAUUGGACAAUGGGCGAAAGCCCGAUCCAGCAA